UACGUAGGGGGCUAGCGUUGUCCGGAAUCAUUGGGCGUAAAGCGCGUGUAGGCGGUCCGGCAAGUCCGCUGUGAAAGUCGGGGGCUCAACCCUCGGAUGCCGGUGGAUACUGUCGGGCUUGAGUACGGAAGAGGCGAGUGGAAUUCCUGGUGUAGCGGUGAAAUGCGCAGAUAUCAGGAGGAACACCAAUUGCGAAGGCAGCUCGCUGGGCAACUGCUGACACUGAGGCGCGACAGCGUGGGGAGCAAACAGG
rnacentral:rRNA from 1 species